AGCUGGACAGAGUGCAGAUGACAGCUGGACGGAGUGCGCUAACUCGGAGAGCUCGGAUUGAGACGCAGCUGAGACCCACAACUCUACACACACAUACAGAGAGGGAGGAAUGAUCAGGACAAACCGGAAAAAUCUGGAGCUGAAAGCAUCUGGAACUCGUAAACAUCUGGACGUUAGUGUGAUGCUGUACGGUCAUGUGGGAGACGCACCAUCUGUCUACAAACACAGACGCAGAAAACACAGAGGACACACGCGACGCCGAGGAGAUACGGGACAGGAGAACCGGGAGACUGAGAAAGAACAAACGCACGAUCAUCGGGGGGGGUGGGUGUGUGUGUGUGUGUGUGUGUGUGUGUGUGUGUGUGUGUGGAGUCAAUAGGAAAUAAAUAUGAAUAAAUAAUC